rnacentral:ncRNA from 2 species
CCAGAUUUCAGUGGUGAUUUGAGCCGACCGGCUUGCGGCCACGUAAAAUAACACGCUAAAAGGUCGGAGUUCGCCCCGA